UACGGAGGGGGCGAGCGUUAUUCGGAAUUAUUGGGCGUAAAGGGCGCGUAGGCGGCUGAACAAGUCAAAGGUGAAAUCCCUCGGCUCAACUGAGGAACUGCCUUUGAAACUGUACGGCUUGAGGCCGGGAGGGGGUAGCGGAAUUCCCAGUGUAGCGGUGAAAUGCGUAGAUAUUGGGAGGAACACCAGCGGCGAAGGCGGCUACCUGGGCUUCUUCUGACACUGAGGUACGAAAGCGUGGGGAGCGAACAGG
rnacentral:rRNA from 1 species